GCUCCCUUCGUCUAGCGGUUAGGACAUCGCCCUCUCAAGGCGGGAACACGGGUUCGAGUCCCGUAGGGAGCGCCA
rnacentral:tRNA from 1 species